rnacentral:SRP_RNA from 1 species
UGCGCCACCGCGAGGGAAGGCUUACGAACCAGGUCAGGUGGGGAACCAAGCAGCCUUAAGUUUGAAUUCCUUGCGCGAUGGUUUUAUUU